rnacentral:tRNA from 1 species
GCUCGGGUGGUGAAAUUGGUAGACACGCACGGUUCAGGUCCGUGUGCUCUAACAGGCAUGCUGGUUCGACUCCAGUCCCGAGCACAA